rnacentral:rRNA from 1 species
GACGAACGCUGGCGGCGUGCUUAACACAUGCAAGUCGAACGGUAAGGCCCUUCGGGGUACACGAGUGGCGAACGGGUGAGUAACACGUGGGUGAUCUGCCCUGCACUUCGGGAUAAGCCUGGGAAACCGGGUCGAAUACUGGUUAGGACCACUGCCGGCAUGGGUGGUGGUGGAAAGCUUUUGCGGUGUGGGAUGGGCCCGCGGCCUAUCAGCUUGUUGGUGGGGUGAUGGCCUACCAAGGCGACGACGGGUAGCCGGCCUGAGAGGGUGACCGGCCACACUGGGACUGAGAUACGGCCCAGAAUCCUACGGGAGGCAGCAGUGGGGAAUAUUGCACAAUGGGCGCAAGCCUGAUGCAGCGACGACGCGUGAGGGAUGACGGCCUUCGGGUUGUAAACCUCUUUCAGCACCGACGAAGCGCAAGUGACGGUAGGUGCAGAAGAAGGACCGGCCAACUACGUGCCAGCCGCCGCCGUAA